GACGAACGCUGGCGGCGCGCUUAACACAUGCAAGUCGAGCGAUGAAAUUUCGACAGAUCCCUUCGGGGUGAAGAUGAAAUGGAUUAGCGGCGGACGGGUGAGUAACACGUGAGUAACCUGCCUUUGACAUUGGGAUAGCCUCGGGAAACUGGGAUUAAUACCAAAUGACACUAACUGAUCACAUGAUCAAUUAGUCAAAGAAAUUCGGUCAAAGAUGGACUCGCGGCUGAUUAGCUAGUUGAUGAGGUAACGGCCCACCAAGGCGACGAUCAGUAGCCGGCCUGAGAGGGUGAUCGGCCACAUUGGAACUGAGACACGGUCCAAACUCCUACGGGAGGCAGCAGUGGGGAAUAUUGCACAAUGGGGGAAACCCUGAUGCAGCGACGCCGCGUGAGCGAAGAAGGCCUUCGGGUCGUAAAGCUCUUUUAUGAGGGAAGAUAAUGACGGUACCUCAAGAAAAAGCCCCGGCUAACUACGUG
rnacentral:rRNA from 1 species